rnacentral:rRNA from 1 species
UCCCUAUGGGGUGCAGCAGGCGCGAAAACUUUACAAUGCGGGAAACCGUGAUAAGGGGACACCGAGUGCCAGCAUCAUAUGCUGGCUGUCCAGGUGUGUAAAAUACACCUGUUAGCAAGGGCCGGGCAAGACCGGUGCCAGCCGCCGCGGUAACACCGGCGGCCCGAGUGGUGAUCGUGAUUAUUGGGUCUAAAGGGUCCGUAGCCGGUUUGGUCAGUCCUCCGGGAGAUCUGAUAGCUCAACUAUUAGGCUUUCGGGGGAUACUGCCAGACUUGGAACCGGGAGAGGUAAGAGGUACUACAGGGGUAGGAGUGAAGUCUUGUAAUCCCUGUGGGACCACCUGUGGCGAAGGCGUCUUACCAGAACGGGUUCGACGGUGAGGGACGAAAGCUGGGGGCACGAACCGGAUUAGAUACCCGGGUAGUCCCAGCCGUAAACGAUGCUCGCUAGGUGUCAGACAUGGCGCGACCGUGUCUGGUGCCGCAGGGAAGCCGUGAAGCGAGCCACCUGGGAAGUACGGCCGCAAGGCUGAAACUUAAAGGAAUUGGCGGGGGAGCACAACAACGGGUGGAGCCUGCGGUUUAAUUGGAUUCAACGCCGGAA